rnacentral:rRNA from 1 species
AUUGAACGCUAGCGGGAUGCCUUACACAUGCAAGUCGAACGGAGUGGCGAACGGGUGAGUAAUGUAUCGGUACGUGCCCCGUCGCGGGGGAUAACUACGCGAAAGCGUAGCUAAUACCGCAUACUAUUUGAGGGGCCGAUAUCGGAUUAGCUAGUUGGUGGGGUAACGGCUCACCAAGGCGACGAUCCGUAGCUGGUUUGAGAGGACGACCAGCCACACUGGGACUGAGACACGGCCCAGACGCCUACGGGAGGCAGCAGUGGGGAAUUUUGGACAAGGGGGGAAACCCUGAUCCAGCCAUCCCGCGUGUGCGAAGAAGGCCUUCGGGUUGUAAAGCACUUUUGGCAGGAAGGCGGUACCUGCAGAAUAAGCACCGGCUAACUACGUGCCAGCAGCCGCGGUAAUAC